UCAUUGGUCCAGAGGGGAGCUAGAUACCUAUGAUUUUUCCUUCUUUUCUGUAGAAUAAAUGA
rfam:Callithrix jacchus chromosome 15, whole genome shotgun sequence